AUGAAACGUGAGAAAGGGCUCACCACCUUUGUGCGGGUCAUCGCCUUUCUGGAGAGGGUAGGUAACGCCAUCGGCAACCUGGCGUUCAUCUGGGCCACGGUGGUGGUGCUCGGCGGCUUCUGGGAGCACCUGCGCCACGAUUUUUGGGUCGUCACUGUGAUUGUUUUCAUAGAGGGUUUCAGGGCGUUUAGCCGGCAAAGCAAUUCGGAUGACCAAUUUCUAUUCAAAACUACAGGAGGCAUCAAGCUCAAAAGGGUGGGGCUAGACACUAGAAGCGGAUGUCUGUAUUAUGCGAAUGCAGCUAUAAUGACGGCAUGUGUGUUGAUGGUACCAGCUCUUCAUAUAAUUCACCGUCUCUUAUCAAUUUUAGUGCUCCAGGAUAGUGAUGGCUUUUUACUACUGGUGUUAGUGGUGAUAGUACGCAAGCUGAGGUUUUACAGGCUUAUUGGUUACAUUAGCGCGAAAAAAAGCAACAUAGUGUUGCACUUCAGUCCCGCAACUGCUCUCCUAGUAAUUUGGAUUGCAGGCCACUAUAUAGAAGGAUAUUGCUCGGACGGUUUUUGCGGCUUUGGAUGGAUGAAUUACAAACUGAUUCUUCUAUGGUUCUUCAUCUACAUUUUAGCGAGGUUGAGAUUGCCGGGACAUGGUUUUCCGUAUGACAGAAUAGUUAAAGUAGCAGCGCAACUAAUCCGUCUCGUAUUGCUUUGUUUAGUACUUUUGAGACUGUUGGUAUGGUUUGGGCCUAUGGGCAAGCUGGUGCUGUUAAGCACACUGGUGCGAGGCAACCUACAAAUUCCAAUGGCUCUGGCACGAAUCAUCUUCUCCUAUGUGUGGCUUGUGACGAAGGAUAUUGAAGUUCACGGCACCGAAAACAAAAACGUCAAGCUAGCAGUGCAGAUGUUGUACACAUUGGUGAUGUGCCAAGGGGCACUCUAUAUGUUGGCGUGCAUACUGGAGUCGUCAUCUUUCUUGUAUCGGAGAAAACUGGCUCUUCAUUAUGGACUCACAGAUAAGUUGGGCAUGGAAUCCAUUGACCUCUACUAUGAACAAGCCUUUGACUCUUUCUUGCAAGAAAGUGUGUUCGACACUACCAAGAAGAUGAGCCUUGUCACCUUUGCUGUGGACUCCCUGAACACCAAGGCGUCACGGGAGAAGAAGUGUGCCGCAGUCCGCAUCUUGGCCGCCUUUCUGCAAAAUCAUACGACCUCCAGCUCCAAUGACACAAAGAUUAUCUCCCUGAUCACCACCUCCACCAAGGCAGCGACCACCUUGAUUAGCAUGCUGGGCUGGACAGCCACAGAAGAUGCAGAUAUCCAGCGAUUCGCCACAAAGGUCACCGCUCAUCUUGCUCCAAACCUACGGAUCGUGGGGAUUCCCGGAACUAUGCAGAAGGUAUCUUUACUUCUUGAUGCCCAAGAUCAACCUAUUAUACAGGAAGUUCCAGCCCAGGUUGUGGUCGGUAAUGUAGAUAAUCAGCAAAUCACCAAUGCUUCAAGUUCUCCAAUAGUGGACAAUAACAGAAGGAACAAUGGUAGACAACAAACGAGAAUGCGCACUGCUCUAAGUUUUUUACCGCUGGACAUUGAGGGAGGGAACGCACCAGUAAUGGCAAGUCGAUCUCGUAGUUACCAAUUCUUACUUUUUCUGAUGGAGGGGAUAUGCAGAUUUGGGGAACACAUCGAAAAGCUGAUGUCGAUUCCACACAAGGACUCGGAGCAUAAUGACUCACUCCCUGUAUUGGGCAUGCAGAUACUUGAAGGGCUUGCUCAUGAUCUCCACAACUGCGCUGAAAUCAGCAGAGCAAUGGAGCUUCUCCCAAAGAUCAUAGGGUUCAUAAACUGCAUUACUGGCACAACAGCAGUGCAGCUGGAUGAGAUCACUACUUCAUCAUUGAAAUUAGUUGCCAAGCUUGCAAGCAUCAAUGGGAAAACCGGCAUGACACUGCGGCAAGAGAUUUCUGAGAACCCUUUCCUGUUUGGCAACCUUACCAAGAUCUUGGAGCUGGAGGCCAACCCAAGCUACCUAGAACAAUCGAAGCUGGCUAUGUAUAUCAUUGCCAAGAUCGCCAAGACCUCCAUUGAUAAGAAAACUAGGCACAAGAUUGGGGCAUUCCAGGUUAUCAUCGACAAGCUGGUGAAAGAGUUCCUUGGGGAUGAUGAGAACCCAUUGCGAGCAGAGGCAGGGGAAGCACUCGCAAUGCUAGCAAUGGAUUGCCCUGGCAACUGCUUUGCUAUGUUGGAUGAAACGAGUUACGACCUUAUAGGGGAUCUCGCCAACAAGAUGGAGCAUGGUCAGCACAUAUACUCUGUGGCAAGUCUACUUCAGAGGUUGUGCCAAAACUCCAGGGAAUUAGUGUUGCACCAUCAAGGUCCAAACAAUGCACUGUCCUCUACCCUUACCGUGGUCUUGAGGAGAAUAGUGGAUGCAGAGGGCAAGCUGGUGGAGGCACUGAUCAGCCUGGCUUCACAAAUUUGCAGGGCAGGCAUUAUCCCUCACUCGUCUGCAAAUGAUCAAGCAUUUGUUACGAAACUGGUGGCUGAACUCAACUCCCGCAAGAAACCGAGCCCAGAUGAAUUUCCAGAUAUGAGAAGGAUGCUGGUUGAGCUCACAUUAUCCAUCGUGGCAUCCUGCCCUCGCUACGCACUCAUCUUCAGCCAAAACGGGAUGAUGGAAGCGUUGUCCAAUGUGGAAUGUUACAUGUGGUUGGUGGUUCCAGAGGAGCAGGGAGCUUUGUGUGCUAUGGUAACCAAGGCAAAGGCCCUGAUCGGCGUUGAUACGACGUGA
rnacentral:rRNA from 1 species